rnacentral:piRNA from 1 species
UGCUUGUGACAAAAUGGAGCCUGCAGA